CAUGUAUAGACCUCUAUCAGAAUGCACAGGAUCUCCUAUUAGUAUACAUUCUUUCCUUAAAACUCACAUAAAUAGUCCCAAACAGUGACAUGCACUGUUUGACACAGAUUACGCUUAUGGUACAGAAGACACCCCCAAGCUGCUGAGGUCACAGACUUACCCUAUAAUAUACUCAGUCACAACAUAUGUGUCUUAAAAUUUAUAGAUAUACGCAUGAAUGCAUAGAUUUGUUCUAUGUUGUGCAGAGUUACCUUAUUACACUUUAUAAUACAAAUAAUCACCUCCUAUCGUGCAGAUAUAUAGUAUAUAUAUUAACUCUACUUUGCAUCAUAGAGGGCAGACAUGCUUUAUCAUAUCAUUGAGCUACAAUUCUGGCCUACAGCAGAGAUACAGCCUGGUAUCCAUUAAGAGCAAGGCCUCUGGACCCAGGCUUCCUGGGCUUGCCUCCUGAUCCCAUCUUUUACUAAUUGUAUCGCCACAGAAAGAAAGGCUCCAGAUUUAUGUUUCCUGGUAUUGCUGCUAUUGGUAUUACUGUCCAUUAUUACUAUCAUCAUCAUCAUCACUAUUAUUAUUAUUAUUUUGCAAUUAAACUACAUUGGUGAAUCUUUAAUGUCCAUCUGUGAGUAUUCUUUUUAAAAAUUCUUCUCUCAUAUAUUACAUCCUGAUCACAGUUUCCCCUCCUUCCUCUCUUCACAGUCCCUCGUUCACCCCCCUUCUCCCCCAGAUCCACUCUUCCUCCAUUUCUCUUCGAGAAGGGCAGGCCUCCCAAGGAUAUCAAUCAAACAUGGCAUAUCAUUUUGCAAUAAGAUUAGGGACAUUCCCUCAUAUCAAGACUGGAUAAGGCAACCCAGUAGGAGAAAAACGGUUUCUCCUUCAAAAGCAGGUGAAAGAGUCAGAGUUAGCCCCAGUUCUUACUGUUAGGAGUCCCAAAAGAACACCAAUUUAUACAACCGUAACAUAUAUUCAGAGGACCUAGGAGGAUCUAGGUCAGACCCAUACAGGCUCCCUGGUUGUCACUUUAGCCUCUGUGAGCUUCUAUGAUCUCUGGUUAGUUAAUUCUGUGGGUUUUCUUGUGGUCUUCUUGACCCCUCUGACUCCUAUAAAUCUUCCUCCCUCUUUUAUAGAGGAUUCCCUGAGCUGCACCUAAUGUUUGGCUGUGGGUCUCUGCAUCUGUUUCCAUCAUCCUCUCUGAAUAUGAUGCUAGGAUCCUAUUUACAAGUAUAGCAGAGUAUCAUUAGGAAUCAUUUCAUUGAUAUUUUGCGGUCAUGUUUGAUUUUAUCCUAGGUCUGUAUCCUAGGGUAUCCUAGGAUACCCAGUCUCUGGUACCUGGACCUAUAAGCAAUGUCAGGCAUGGGUUCCCUUUUGUGGCCCGUGUCUCAGUUUAGACCAGUCAUUGGUUGGCCACUCCUACAAUUUCUGUGUCACCAAUUUUACCCCAGCACAUCUUGCAGACAGAAAAAAAUGUAGGUUGUAAUUUUUGUGGCUGUGUUGUCCCUAUCCCUCCACUUGCCUGGUUACAGGUGAUGGCUGGUUCAGGCUCCAUAUCCUGAUUGCUAGGAAUCUUUGGAUCACCCUUUUAGAUUUUUAGGUGUUUCCAAUGUUCCAGGUUUCUACCUCCCUUUCCCAGGGAGAUUCAUGUGUC
rnacentral:lncRNA from 1 species